UUGAUCCCUUCGGGGUGAUUGUUUUGUGACUGAGUGGCGGACGGGUGAGUAACGCGUGGGUAACCUGCCUUGUACUGGGGGACAACAGUUGGAAACGACUGCUAAUACCGCAUAAGCGCACAAUGUUGCAUGACAUGGUGUGAAAAACUCCGGUGGUGUGAGAUGGACCCGCGUCUGAUUAGCCAGUUGGCGGGGUAACGGCCCACCAAAGCGACGAUCAGUAGCCGGCCUGAGAGGGUGAACGGCCACAUUGGGACUGAGACACGGCCCAAACUCC
rnacentral:rRNA from 1 species